rnacentral:rRNA from 1 species
UACGGAGGGUGCAAGCGUUAUCCGGAUUCACUGGGUUUAAAGGGUGCGUAGGAGGGCAGGUAAGUCAGUGGUGAAAUCUCCGAGCUUAACUUGGAAACUGCCGUUGAUACUAUCUGCCUUGAAUAUUGUGGAGGUGAGCGGAAUAUGUCAUGUAGCGGUGAAAUGCUUAGAUAUGACAUAGAACACCAAUUGCGAAGGCAGCUCGCUACACAUAUAUUGACUCUGAGGCACGAAAGCGUGGGGAGCAAACAGG